GAUGAACGCUGGCGGCGUGCCUAAUACAUGCAAGUCGAACGAAACUUCUUUAUCACCGAGUGCUUGCACUCACCGAUAAAGAGUUGAGUGGCGAACGGGUGAGUAACACGUGGGCAACCUGCCCACAAGAGGGGGAUAACACUUGGAAACAGGUGCUAAUACCGCAUAACCAUAGUUACCGCAUGGUAACUAUGUAAAAGGUGGCUAUACUACCGCUUUUGGAUGGGCCCGCGGCGCAUUAGCUAGUUGGUAGGGUAAAGGCUUACCAAGGCAAUGAUGCGUAGCCGAAUUGAGAGGUUGAUCGGCCACAUUGGGACUGAGACACGGCCCAAACUCCUACGGGAGGCAGCAGUAGGGAAUCUUCCACAAUGGGCGAAAGCCUGAUGGAGCAACGCCGCGUGGGUGAAGAAGGUCUUCGGAUCGUAAAACCCUGUUGUUAGAGAAGAAAGUGCGUGAGAGUAACUGUUCACGUUUCGACGGUAUCUAACCAGAAAGCCACGGCUAACUACGUG
rnacentral:rRNA from 1 species